rnacentral:rRNA from 2 species
UAGUGGCGAACGGGUGAGUAACACGUGGGCAAUCUGCCCUUCACUCUGGGACAAGCCCUGGAAACGGGGUCUAAUACCGGAUAACACCGGCUUCCGCAUGGGAGCUGGUUGAAAGCUCCGGCGGUGAAGGAUGAGCCCGCGGCCUAUCAGCUUGUUGGUGGGGUAAUGGCCUACCAAGGCGACGACGGGUAGCCGGCCUGAGAGGGCGACCGGCCACACUGGGACUGAGACACGGCCCAGACUCCUACGGGAGGCAGCAGUGGGGAAUAUUGCACAAUGGGCGAAAGCCUGAUGCAGCGACGCCGCGUGAGGGAUGACGGCCUUCGGGUUGUAAACCUCUUUCAGCAGGGAAGAAGCGAAAGUGACGGUACCUGCAGAAGAAGCGCCGGCUAACUACGUGCCAGCAGCCGCGGUAAUACGUAGGGCGCAAGCGUUGUCCGGAAUUAUUGGGCGUAAAGAGCUCGUAGGCGGCUUGUCACGUCGGGUGUGAAAGCCCGGGGCUUAACCCCGGGUCUGCAUCCGAUACGGGCAGGCUAGAGUGUGGUAGGGGAGAUCGGAAUUCCU